CACCGAAGGAGUUGAAAGGCUUCGUCGAGAGCGAGAUCGUGCGCUGGGGCAAGGUCAUCGAUCAGGCCGGGCUCGCGGGCUCGGAAUAGCGGCCGCCCAUCGGGCACAACGCGUCAGUCAAAAAGAAACGAGUCAAAAAGAAACGCGCCCGGCCCCAGCGGGCCGGACGCGCUCGCACUGUGAACUCUGGCGGACCGCGCUGAGCGCGCGCGCUCCCGUGUCGGUCAGAUGCGACGGAACGUAUCCACGCCGCGCACCGUCCGGCCGCCGUAGGUCAUGACCCACUUCACCACGACCGUGGUCGGGUUGAUCAUGCGGCCGCGCCAAACCGUGGUCGCCCUGCAAUCGAGCGACCAGGCCUUCCAGGUCUGGAAGCCGAUGAGCGGGCCUCGGAUGGCCCCGGCGGCGUCAAACACGGCGCCCGGGCAGGGCGGGCCGUAAUUGAUGAAAACGCCCC
rnacentral:misc_RNA from 1 species